rnacentral:rRNA from 1 species
AAACAACAUACAAGCAACCGCAGUAAUAUGUAUGAUGCGAGCGUUAUCCGAAAUUACUGAGAUAAAAGGAUGAGUAAACGGCAAUGUAAGUC